UUUCAAUUUAAACCAGAAGUGGAGGCUAUCGGGAAAGCAUAUUAUGAGUUUCUCAGUAUUGUUAUUUAAGAUUUGGGCCCUAAAUUUUAUGCUGCUUCUGCUUUCUGCAUCCUACCUUCCUAACCAUUUGUAUUUACUGUGAGCUGAGACUUUUUCUGUCUUGCAAUAAAUUUUCUUUCCCCUUUCUUCCUAGCUUAGAAACUGCCUUUGCAUCAUCCUAGGAAGUGUUCUGUAGUUAUAUCUUAGCAGCACAAAUCAAUUCUAAAGCAAACUGUACUCAACAAAGCAGUGUUUCACAGGUUUGUGUGAUAGCAAAUAAUAAAAUGACAGAGAGGACUGGAAGUAUUUGAUUUGUGAUUGAAUUGGACAAGAUUUUCACUAGCAAUCAAUGAGACAUGGAAAAAUAUUCAAAGGAAAAAUACAAGUUUUCACUAGGAAAUCGUAUCUGUAACACGAUGAUUAGGAUGAAGAAAAUUUACUCCAUGCUCAUGUAACUUAUGAUUGGAGAGUGAAAUGCGUGGAUAAAAAACGCAUCUCAGUGCUGCCUAGCUGCUCACAGGUGUGUCAUCGUCAAGGGGAGGUGAAGGCUCUCAAAAGCUACUCUACACAGAUACUGCUGCCCAAGUCCUAGAGAGACUAAGAAAAGAGACCAUGUGAAGGUUUGGUGCUGCUGUCCACAUCUUAUGCUAUUUGAGGUAUCCUAGGUUACUAUCCUCACUGACAGCUACCUGCUGCUACAGGAAGUUGAAGAUGCACGUUAGAUUCUGUGUAAUAUCUACCAGCCCCAUCUAAUCUUACAGCCUCUCAAAUUGCAUCAAUACAUUCCCAAAGGAGAGCUGAAAAUACAAAAAGAUCCUAGUACCGACAAGACUGGGCAUGAAAUUUCACAAAAGAAUGGCUGACAUGCUACCAGCCAGUGCUUCAGAGAGUGAUCCAUUGAAUGUCCAUGUAUGGUUCUGGAAUGUGUUUACUGAGUACAAAACAAGAAGGCCUAUUCCAUGCUGUUUAUGCAGUCCCUGGGCCAUCCUGUUACCUGAAAACUGCCCUGGCACUCUGAUAGACCUGGAGCAUCAUAGAAUCAUAUAAUGGCUUGGGUUGGAAGGGACCUCAAGGAUCAUCAAGCUCCAACCCCCCUGCCACCGGUAGGACUGCCAACCUCCACAUCUAAUACUGGCUGCCCAGGGCCCCAUCCAACCUGGCCUUGAAUACCUCCAGGGACAGGGCAACAUGCUGGAGCACAGGGACUCUAGAAGACAAAGCAACCGUUUCUCUUGCUAUACAUUGCUUUCCUUUCUCAGUUGUGUGACCAUCCCUGCUAUACUCUAUUUCCAUGAUUACUUCACCAAGAGAAGUAACUAUAUGAACAGCAAUUUCUUUCCCCACUCCAUUUGGUACCAUGCUGGUACAAGACAUUACCUGCUCCAUAAGUACAUAGAGACCUUCAUCUGAUCCUGAGGACAAUGAGGGAAGUGGGUAGAGAAGGAACGAUGAGUUGCGCCUAAUAUACUUUUUGCUCAACUUUUAUGAUUCCUUUGUCUCUAGAGAUCAUGCGACAACGAUACAGUUUCUAAAUCCCAUUUUCUACAAUGACUCUUGAACUCUGCUUCCAUGGUCCAAAAAUCACAAAGCCAUAUUUACUUUAACAUCUCUAGAAUUCAAAGAUCAGAAGAGAAAGGGUACCACAAACUAAGUAGAGCAAUACAUAUCCAGUGACAAUGAAUAUGCAGUCUUUUUUUUUUGAGUGUACGCCAUAAAUCGGUUGUAUUCAUUUUAGAAAUGAAACAUGAGGUAAAUUCAAUCAUAUUAUGUAAUUUAGCUAUGUUUGAAAAUAUUAAAGCCAUUUUAAAUAAAAUAUAGAAUUUAUGUUUGCCUAGAAGACAAAUUGUAUUUUGGGUAGUAUAAAAAAAAUGGCUGGUUAUCAGUCUACAGUGUAUGUUGAACAACUGAUGUCUUGUAAAGAGAUCUCCAACAUUGCUGCAUGGGACCCAUGCUCCAAAUAUUUCCAGCACACAAAAUACAACUUUACCAGCACAAACUCAAGUUUUUUGUCUUUGGACACAGCUUAUGCUACCGGUUAGUUUGACGCACUUUUCCCCACAUCAUAUUCUUAACUUCAUGUUCACCAUCAAAUAACAUAAAAGAAAUUCAUAUAAGAAAAAUAAAAGCUGAAUUACAAACCUACUCCUCCUGUGUAGCAAAACAGAAAUGUACAGUGAGCACAUGCUGUUUCUUUUAACUGAAGUAUCCGAACUGCAUUAAGCCACCCUUGAUAAAACAGAAUGGUCUUUAGAUAAACUUAAAAAGCAACUGACAAAUUCGCAUGACUAUGUACUCAAAUC